rnacentral:rRNA from 1 species
GACGAACGCUGGCGGCGUGCUUAACACAUGCAAGUCGAACGAUGAACCAGGGCUUGCCCUGGGAAUUAGUGGCGAACGGGUGAGUAACACGUGGGCAACCUGCCCCUGACACCGGGAUGACCAUUCGAAAGGAUGGCUAAUACCGGAUACGACCACUCCAGGCAUCUGGCGGUGGUGGAAAGGAUGCUGGUCAGGGAUGGGCCCGCGGCCUAUCAGCUAGUUGGUGGGGUAACGGCCUACCAAGGCGACGACGGGUAACCGGCCUGAGAGGGCGACCGGUCACACUGGGACUGAGACACGGCCCAGACUCCUACGGGAGGCAGCAGUGGGGAAUAUUGCGCAAUGGGCGAAAGCCUGGCGCAGCGACGCCGCGUGAGGGACAACGGUCUUCGGAUUGUAAACCUCUUUCAGCAGGGAUGAAGCCGCAAGGUGACAGUACCUGCAGAAGAAGCACCGGCUAACUACGUGCCAGCAGCCGCAGUAA